rnacentral:rRNA from 1 species
AUACGGGGGGUGCAAGCGUUGUCCGGAAUCAUUGGGCGUAAAGGGUUCGUAGGUGGAAUUAUAAGUCUGGUGUGAAAGCCCACAGCUCAACUGUGGAACUGCACUGGAUACUGUUUUUCUUGAGUUAUAGAGGGGUUUGUGGAAUUUCUGGUGUAGAGGUGAAAUUUGUAGAGAUCAGAAAGAACACCGGUGGCGAAGGCGACAAACUGGCUAUUAUCUGACACUGAGGAACGAAAGCGUGGGGAGCGAACAGGAUUAGAAACCCUAGUAGUCC